rnacentral:rRNA from 1 species
AACGAACGCUGGCGGCAUGCCUAACACAUGCAAGUCGAACGAGACCUUCGGGUCUAGUGGCGCACGGGUGCGUAACGCGUGGGAACCUGCCCUUAGGUUCGGAAUAACUCCCCGAAAGGGGUGCUAAUACCGGAUAAUGUCUUCGGACCAAAGAUUUAUCGCCUUUGGAUGGGCCCGCGUUGGAUUAGCUAGUUGGUAGGGUAAAAGCCUACCAAGGCGACGAUCCAUAGCUGGUCUGAGAGGAUGAUCAGCCACACUGGGACUGAGACACGGCCCAGACUCCUAGGGGGGGCAGCAGUGGGGAAUAUUGGACAAGGGGCGAAAGCCUGAUCCAGCAAGGCCGGGUGAGUGAUGAAGGCCUUAGGGUUGUAAAGCUCUUUUACCCGGGAUGAUAAUGACAGUACCGGGAGAAAAAGCCCCGGCUAACUCCGU